CCAGAGAACUUAGCAGAGAUGCUUUGGUGCCUUCGGGAACUCUGAGACAGGUGCUGCAUGGCUGUCGUCAGCUCGUGUUGUGAAAUGUUGGGUUAAGUCCCGCAACGAGCGCAACCCUUAUCCUUUGUUGCCAGCGGCUCGGCCGGGAACUCAAAGGAGACUGCCGGUGAUAAACCGGAGGAAGGUGGGGAUGACGUCAAGUCAUCAUGGCCCUUACGGCCAGGGCUACACACGUGCUACAAUGGCGCAUACAAAGAGAAGCGACCUCGCGAGAGCAAGCGGACCUCACAAAGUGCGUCGUAGUCCGGAUUGGAGUCUGCAACUCGACUCCAUGAAGUCGGAAUCGCUAGUAAUCGUAGAUCAGAAUGCUACGGUCGAAUACGUUCCCGGGCCUUGUACACACCGCCCGUCACACCAUGGGAGUGGGUUGCAAAAGAAGUAGGUAGCUUAACCUUCGGGAGGGCGCUUACCACUUUGUGAUUCAUGACUGGGGUGAAGUCGUAACAAGGUAAGCGUAGCGAG
rnacentral:rRNA from 1 species